GCCCAAUGAUGAGACCAAGGCGAAUACGAGCUUACUGAAUGAGAGUUGGGUUCCUCUUUGCCUUGACUGGCAGGUAAUCUUGGCAGUGCAGAGGAGCUUUCCUGCUCUGCUGUAAGGGCCUGCCUACAGUGAUUUGGCUCAACCCAAAUUAUUUCUUUAAAGUUAUAGUGAAGUAAUCAGGGGAUGAAGCUGACAAUGUGUGAGACUGUGUGUGUGGUUGUAUGUGCAUUUGUGUGUUUGUGUAAGAGGCAAGGAGCACACCCAGCUUUCGUUGCUGUUCAGUCAGCAAUGAGUUGCUUCUUUGGUAAUCUGAGGGCA